rnacentral:rRNA from 1 species
GGUUACUAGGCAAUGUGGUGUUCAGGUCGUUCCGCAGAGGCGCUGCCCCAUCCUAAGUCCACCAUUGAAUAUGGCUUUGGACGUGGCCCAUUGAGGGUGUAAGGCCCGUCGGGGUGGGGGUUCGUUUGGCCAGUGUCUCUCUGGGUAGACCUUGGAGUCGGGUUGUUUGUGAAUGCAGCCCAAAGUGGGUGGUAAACUCCAUCCAAGGCUAAAUACUUGCACGAGUCCGAUAGCGAACAAGUACCGUGAGGGAAAGUUGAAAAGUACUUUGAAGAGAGAGUAAACAGUGCGUGAAACCGCUCAGAGGUAAACGGGUGGAGUUGAACUGCAAUCUCUGUGAAUUCAGCUGGUGAGUCUGGUUGGGCUUGGCUAAGUCUAUCGAUCUCCGUGGUCUGACUAUUAUUAGGUCUUCGUCUUCGGGCGGGGAUGCGCGAUGCUCCUACCAUGUGCUGCGCGCCGCGGAGUUUCGGGUUAGCUUGCCAGUGCACUUUUGCAGAGUGUUCACCACGACCGGCAUCGCUGUCUGACUGUUUUGGUUAAACCUUCCUUGAAUUGUCCUUGUGGCUUUGCAUGGUUGGGAUGGCAGGUAGCUCGUUGGUGAUUGUGGCUUGCUGCAGUUGUCUUCGGGUGUUAUCGCUGACCAUUAUGGUUCUGUGCAGUAUGUCGGAGACGGCGGCUAGUUGUGUGUGCGUGCGUACCGAUCGCAUGGGCAUGCUCGAGUCUGAUUGUCAUGUCGCUCGCACAAAGCGGGCCGGGCAGUGGCUUGGGUGUGUUCUGUGUGUGGUUGCGUGCGUGUCACUUUACAGGGCCAAUAGUCUGUGGUGUAGUGGUAGAUUAUCCACCUGACCCGUCUUGAAACACGGACCAAGGAGAGUAACAUGUGCGCGAGUCAUUGGGCGUAACGAAACCCACAGGCGCAGUGAAAGUAAAGGCUUGGCUUGUCCUUGCUGAGGUGAGAUCCUGCUGUUUCCUCGCGCGGUUCUACCAAGCUUCGAGCAGUAGGCGCAUCACCGGCCCGUCUCAUGACGUGGACACAUUCUCUUCGGA